UUCUAAGUGAAACAAGAGACCCAUAAAACCCUAGAAAUCAAAGUAUAAUUCAUGUAUAAGUUCUACAAAUCUAUAAUCUCAGGUAUGAAAAACCCGUUUUUCAAAAAUCAAAAGUAUCUUUGAUUUUGUAAACCCUAGAAUUUGGAUUUGUAAUCUUGCUUUCGGUUUUUCUCAGAAGAAGAUUCAAACACAAAGGAAAACCUAGCUUAGCCUCCCUAGAAAAACUCCUUCAACUAUUUGAUCUCAAGAUUUCCCUCAUUUUCUUCUCUCAAAAUUUUCUCAACAUGUUUCAUACAUUUCUGAACAAAUCGAUUAAGUUGUUCGAUUUUGGCUCUGGUGAUGGUGAAGUAGAAGUCAAUACCCUCGAAUAAAAAAUCAAUUUCAACGGUAAUCUAUGCUGUCAAUGACAAAAUCCUUCUCGCGAUUAAUUGGGGUUGCGAUUUACUUCAUCUGGUUCCUAUUGUGAUGAUACAAAAGACAUGAUAGUAUCAGAAAGUCCUAUGAUUCCUGGUGAUGAUGGUGUGGUGGUGGUGAUGGAUAAUUUUUUCAAAUGAAAGAUUUGAGUUUGGGUGGUGGUGAAAAGCUUCUCUUUAUGGUUGUUACCCUUCCUGGGUCAUCUUCAGUGACAUUCACUGAAUUGUUACCAACUUGCUGAUUUUGAGGUUUUUGGGCUUAGAGAUCUCUUGGAAUAUGCUUUUGGAUUCCAGAAUGACAGUAUCAUUGUCAAGAGCUCAGCACGACAAUUCAAUUCUUUUUGUUGCAAAUGCACAGACUCGUCUUGUGAUAACUGCACAAGUUGAACCAGGUGUCGCUGAUACUGAUCAAUCAUUCUUUCACACUCGUUUAUAGUACAUCAUAAGCACAUCAGAUGGUGUGACUGAGGUUUUCUUAACAGUGCUUGAUAUGUACAUCAGAUGGUGUAAAUGCGCGCUCCUUGUUUGGAACAGAUGAUAAAAGAGCUGAAUCUGAUAUUGGACCAUGGCGAGGCGCAAUCAGCUGUUAGCUGUAGUGGGGAUAAUGAUUCUUUGUUUGUCCCAACUUUUGCGGUCAUGUGCUUCUUAGAGAGUAAGCUGUUCAGGUGUUACCAUGUUAGCGAUAUGGUGGAAACAUGAGUUAGAUUUAUGUUGUUUUAAGUUAGAGGUUUAUUUAGAAUUCAAAAAAUUUACCUGGAUUUAAGUAAAGGGUUUGUUGAUUCAUGCGUGUAUCGCGAAUUCGCCAUGUUUUUGUCUAUGCUGGUUGUAUGUUGCGAUGGUCAGGUGUAUGUUGCGAUAGUCAUAUUUGUCUAUGCUAAUUGUAACUCUGCCUGUCAGGUGUAUUUUGUGAUAGUCAUUUUGGUUACAUAUUUAUGUCUUCCUGUGUAUCUAGCUUCUCAACACCAGUAGUUGCAGGGAAGCUUAAGAUAGUUUAAGGGUUUAUAUUUGGUGGAAGUAUCUUAGCUUCUCAACAUCAGUAGUGCGAGUUAUUUCAGAUCUUCCAUAUGCGCUAUGGUUUUGUUAAAGACGACAUUACCUUAAGUGCAGACCCUUCUGCUAUUGAUACUUGUUGCUCUUAGUUCUUACUUCUCGUUGUGGAGUUAGGGUGUUGAUCCAAGUAUAAGGGGUGAGGUUUGGGCUUUUCUCAUUAAGUUAUUAUUCCUAACUAUUAUGAAUUAGCGUAGUCUAAUGGAUUGGAUCGCUGUUGGUCUAUCCUCAUCCCUGUCAGCAUUUCACCUUCUUUAGUUGUAAUGUAGCAUCCCUUUUUUGGAGUCUCCAGUAAAUUUCUUUUCUUCUGAACUUGUUUCUUGUGUAUCUUUAGUUAAAGUCAGAACUUAUUAUUCUUAGUUGAUAUGCUGAUGCUACUGAUGGAUUAAUGAUGCAUGGAAAAUGCCUGGCCUCGGUGUUUCCUCUAACCUGGUGGCACAUUUCCAUAUAAAUUCCCGAGCCCUACUAGGCUUAUCUGCUUUAGGUGUUUGUAAAGGAAUAUAAUCUUCUUGCAAAAUGCUUACUGCAAAAGCUUAUAUAUCGAAACGGGAUCAGAAAUUCUUGGAUUUGGCUGUGCUGUUCAACUACAGAAUUUCUAGAUUAUUUUAUUUUAUAUUCAAAGAAAAAUGUUCGCUUGCGGAGUUAGUAACAUCUCUUGCCUUGAU